rnacentral:rRNA from 1 species
UUAAUGAGGCGAACCGGGGGAACUGAAACAUCUAAGUACCCCGAGGAAAAGAAAUCAACCGAGAUUCCCCCAGUAGCGGCGAGCGAACGGGGAGCAGCCCAGAGCCUGAAUCAGUGUGUGUGUUAGUGGAAGCGUCUGGAAAGGCGCGCGAUACAGGGUGACAGCCCCGUACACAAAAAUGCACAUGCUGUGAGCUCGAUGAGUAGGGCGGGACACGUGGUAUCCUGUCUGAAUAUGGGGGGACCAUCCUCCAAGGCUAAAUACUCCUGACUGACCGAUAGUGAACCAGUACCGUGAGGGAAAGGCGAAAAGAACCCCGGCGAGGGGAGUGAAAAAGAACCUGAAACCGUGUACGUACAAGCAGUGGGAGCACGCUUAGGCGUGUGACUGCGUACCUUUUGUAUAAUGGGUCAGCGACUUAUAUUCUGUAGCAAGGUUAACCGAAUAGGGGAGCCGAAGGGAAACCGAGUCUUAACUGGGCGUUAAGUUGCAGGGUAUAGACCCGAAACCCGGUGAUCUAGCCAUGGGCAGGUUGAAGGUUGGGUAACACUAACUGGAGGACCGAACCGACUAAUGUUGAAAAAUUAGCGGAUGACUUGUGGCUGGGGGUGAAAGGCCAAUCAAACCGGGAGAUAGCUGGUUCUCCCCGAAAGCUAUUUAGGUAGCGCCUCGUGAAUUCAUCUCCGGGGGUAGAGCACUGUUUCGGCAAGGGGGUCAUCCCGACUUACCAACCCGAUGCAAACUGCGAAUACCGGAGAAUGUUAUCACGGGAGACACACGGCGGGUGCUAACGUCCGUCGUGAAGAGGGAAACAACCCAGACCGCCAGCUAAGGUCCCAAAGUCAUGGUUAAGUGGGAAACGAUGUGGGAAGGCCCAGACAGCCAGGAUGUUGGCUUAGAAGCAGCCAUCAUUUAAAGAAAGCGUAAUAGCUCACUGGUCGAGUCGGCCUGCGCGGAAGAUGUAACGGGGCUAAACCAUGCAC